UGAACUGUGCAUUACAUCACAAGGAGGUUAAGAGACUUGCUCAGGGUCACACAGUGAAUGAGUCAGUGGCAGAGGUGGGAUUUGAACCGGUGACCUUCUGAUUACAAGCCCUGGACUUUAACCACUGGACCACACUGCCUUCUUGGGAAGGUUGGAAGUCGGCCAUCCAGAAUAGGGGCGGAGACACAAUAUUGCAAGUCAUUGUGGGCGCGGUGGCAAUCGCGGAUUCGAGAAAAGGCAAUUGCACCUUCUACCAAGGGGGCGUGACUGACGGUAUAAAAGGCUGUGGCGAAGCAAACUAUUCCUUUGUUACGGCUAAUGAAGGACCGACGAACUGAAAGAGAAACCAAAGGUCCUGAACCUGCUUUGUCCAGGAUACAAACCAGCCUCAAGAAAAACAGUUGAGCAAUGCAUACUCAGGCAUGGUGGGUACUUUAAAACAAGAACUAAUGUCUACUAAUGUCUACAUCACAUGCUACCAUUACUUUUGAUCUGUGGACCUGUACCAGAGUGGAAUUUAACUGUAAAAUGCAUUGGCUGCAUUCCUGCUGAUGAGUCCCAUACUGAGGAGAACAUUGCCUUCUCUGUGCAAAAUGUGCUGAACUCCUUUAACUUAAAUCAAGUGCUAUGUGCUGUCACAUCUUCAGUGAUUGGAAGAUGUCGGUCCAUAGCUACCCUUUUUAAGAAGUCUCAGAGUGCUUGGCAUGCUAUGUUAAGGUGUAUCUGAUUGAAACUGGAUCUGAACACAGAAAAUUUCAAUGAUUGAAAAAGUGGUCCAACAAGCAGAACAAUUAAAGAUUACAGCUGUGAAACACCUGUCUCUUCGACAAUGAGCAAAAAAAAGCUGUGACCAAAGGCUUGUCUCUUCUAUGUGGACCUGCUGAAAGUGAUCCAGUCCACCCAAGAGAGCACGUACAUCUGAAAGCAUCUAUGAGCUUUCUGACAGCAGCCCUGAAGACGAUGAUAACAUGAAAGGAUCUGCUUUGUACAAUGAGCAGAAGGUGUAUGCAGCAAAGAAGAGGGAGCCUCUUUUGUGUGCCUGCAACAUCAGUGGAAAGUGAAAGACUGUUCUCCAAAGCAGGGAACCUAAUCACGGAUCGGAGGACAAGACUGAAUUCUGCAAAUGAUAAAAAAAAUAAUUCUGAUAAACCAUAACCUAUCCUCGAGUAAGGACUGAGAAAGUGGAAACUGGAAAAAGUCACUCAGUGUCAGACAAAGGGAGUAACUGCUAGAAGGCACCAUAAUUGAACAUGAGUGUAUAAAAAUAGGUCAAACUAUAUGGAAAAAAAUAUUUGUGUUUAAUAUGCUUUGUUAGUAUUUCCAAGUAAUAAUCUCAUAUAAAUAUGUUCCUUUCUCUAGUAUUUAAUAUUUCUUACCCCUAACUUUUAACAGGAAAAAUAUUUCACUGUUUUUUGUUUCUCUUUCUUUAUUUAUUAUACUGUUUUCUACUUUGUUAUGUUUGAACGGUUAAACAGAUGUUUUUAUGUUGUAAAUAUGUUGAAUGUCAAAUAUGUCAGAUAGGUACUAAAAAAUUGCACAAGAAAAUAAAACAGUGAAGCUUUAAAACCAGAUUUCUAUAUUCUUAUUUUACUCAAAAACACAUUUAAUCUUGGAAUAUUUGGAAUAUAGCCAAGCAACAUCAAUUAAAAAAACUUUAUAAAAUAAUGAUACCAUCCUUAUUUGCACUAUUUUUUUGUGGCUCCGGAGCCAGGUAAAAGCAGCUGGAGCGCAGCAGUGCAUACAAAGAAAAACAUAGUAUUAUAUUGUGUAUUUCACAGCAAUGUACACAUUUGUUUUACAACAGUGUCACACAAAAAUAAAAUUUUGCAUUUGUACUAGUAAAAACACUUCUGUAGAGUUGAUAAACCGAGAAGGACUGUGAGAGACCCCGUAACCACUGUUUCAGUAUCGUGAGUGUUUUGUUUGUUUGUCUUUGUGUCAUUUGUCUUGUUUGUAAAUGACUAGAUGGCUAACACGAUUCCGGAGCUGUUGCCGAAGACCAGCACUAAGCUGGAACAGCACUGCACUACUGUCACAAAUAUAAACUGUAUCACCCAC